rnacentral:lncRNA from 1 species
UUUGUUUCUACAAAUUUAAGGGACGACAUCAAAAGAUCGAUGUAGGAUAAAAAACUUAAAUCAAAUAGUUUGGGGGUGGGGGGUUAAAAUUCUACAAGUUUUGUAUAUCUAAAAUCGAUUUUUACAUAUAUCCCUAUUGGUAAAUCAAUUUUUCCCAAAUUAAGUUAAGAGGGUGGUGGGGGUGUCAGUGAAAAAACUAUGUGAAUUAAGUUUUUUAUCCUACAUUGAACUUUUGAUGUCGUCCCUUACACGCAG